GCGAAUCGCCCUUGGUGCACCAGGCGCGAAACCUUUACAAUGCUGGCAACAGCGAUAGGGGGACCUCGAGUGCCAGGUUACAAAUCUGGCUGUCGUUGUGUCUAAAAAACACGAUAUAGCAAGGGCCGGGCAAGACCGGUGCCAGCCGCCGCGGUAACACCGGCGGCUCGAGUGGUAACCGUUAUUAUUGGGUUUAAAGGGUCUGUAGCCGGCCUGGUUAGUCCUUUGGGAAAUCCGGCAGCUCAACUGUCGGGCUUUCAGAGGAUACUGCCAGGCUCGAGACCGGGAGAGGUAAGAGGUACUUCAGGGGUAGGGGUGAAAUCUUGUAAUCCUUGAAGGACCACCAGUGGCGAAGGCGUCUUACCAGAACGGAUCUGACGGCAAGGGACGAAAGCUAGGGGCACGAACCGGAUUAGAUACCCGGGUAGUCCUAGCCGUAAACGAUACUCGCUAGGUGUCGGCCACGGUGCGACCGUGGUCGGUGCCGUAGGGAAACCGUGAAGCGAGCCACCUGGGAAGUACGGCCGCAAGGCUGAAACUUAAAGGAAUUGGCGGGGGAGCAC
rnacentral:rRNA from 1 species